GUUUGAUGUGAUCAAUUGCUGAAGUAACGUACCCAGAAAAUAACAACGCAAGUCCCUCAGCAGAGCCCUGUCCAAAGGCAGAAGUAGGAGUUAUUAGCUAAUAGCUCGCUGAAGUGAUCCCGCAUACAGGGUUAGGAAGUUACGGCGAUUUUACAGCGUUUGUGUCUGACACGGCUACAUGGAGAAACCUGGGAGAGAUGAGCAAGCCAAGCACAUCCAUUAAGGGAAGUGAGACCUGCACGGCUGAGGGUGCUCCCUGUCCAGGGAACGCGCUCUGAGGAAAGGACGGCUCCUCGGAGCACAGCGGACAAGAGGCCAAGGGAAGACAGAGCAGAGAUCCCUGCAGCAUUAAAGCGUUAAGAGAACCCAACCAUAAGCUGGCAUUUACCUCUUUAUUCCUCGUUACAGUGUGUAACAAGUAGGCCACUGCUUAUGGAGAUUUAGCUCUCAGGCCUGUCCUGCACUCAGCAAGAAAGUCGCGGUUAAAUCUUUGCCCAUAUGCUUGCUCAUUCUUUUCCUAUAGGAGAAGAGUGUGUGUGUGGGGGGGUGAAAGCACGAGGAGAGGCUGAUUAGGACCAUUAGGGCCAAUUAAUGCAAUGCCCUGAUGCUGGCAUCUUGUCUUGCCUGUUUGCAUCACUGAGUCACAAGUUCUCUCCACCUCCAGGAUGCUGCCUGCUAAUCCCCCACCACCUCUGGGUGCUGGGAGGAACCACGUGGGAGUGCUACACGGGAAUUUAGGGUGUCUCCGAAGGGCACCUAUGUGUUCAAGGAUUAGCCAGGAAACAUGCUUCCCAGGGGCUGUCGCACUCCGCCAUAUAACUCUGCACAUGCUUCCUGAGCGUCACCACAGGGAGCAGAUGGGCCUUCAUCUGGCUGAGCGCAGCUGCUGCUACAUUCUUAUUUGCUGACUGAUCUGUGGAAUCUUUUCUAAGGACUGUUUGCUUCACCUUAACAGAAACGACCUGAACAGGGCAGAAUGCUUUGCCUUUACACUGAAAUUCAACCUCCUCAAGGUGCAGAAUGCCUCUAACUCAGUAAGUCAUAACAACCUGUAGAUUUGAUGUCUCCUUCAUGCUUUCCUCAGUUCCCAUGCAGCACCUGUCUUAUUUUGAAUGGUGAACUGGAGCAACUUCAAAAUAACGGUUGUAAAGAAUAUUCUGGCAUUGUUACGGUGCUGUGUCCCAGCUGAACUUUUUAUAUAUCCACACCUCUUUAUCCCCAGUAUAGCCCCAAUAAUUUGGUGCUGUAGUACUGCAUCUCACAGAACUGUCUCAUGUACAAAUUUAUUUAUUUAUUUUUAAACUAAUGUGCACCCUUGGUGUGGUUGCAAGCAGUGUAUUGGAGAGAUGAAUUUGGAAUACAGACAAUCUAAUUGCAUCUCUGCUGCAUUAUCGCUAGUGUAACCAAGGACUCUGGGUCAAUGCCAAAACAAAAUCAUGAAACUGAUUGGUUUUCAACUUUACAUUAUUAAUUGUUUCUGCAUUUCUGAUGUUGUUCAUAUCCAAAACAAAUACUAGGAGCCAAAUAAACCUUAAUUUUGAUUCUGGUUUUACA
rnacentral:lncRNA from 1 species